GACGAACGCUGGCGGCGUGCUUAACACAUGCAAGUCGAACGGCAAGGCCCUGCUUUUGUGGGGUGCUCGCAUGGCGAACGGGUGUGUAACACGUGAGUAACCUGCCCUUGACUUUGGGAUAACUUCAGGACACUGGGUCUAAUACCAGAUAGGAGCUCCUGCUGCAUUGUGGGGGUUGGAAAGUUUCGGCGGUUGGGGAUGGACGGGCGGCUUAUCCGCUUGUUGGUGGGGUAGUGGCUUACCAAGGCUUUGACGGGUAGCCCGCCUGAGAGGGUGACCGGCCACAUGGGGACUGAGGUACGGCCCAGACGCCUACGGGGGGCAGCAGUGGAGAAUGUGGCGCAAUGGGCGGAAGCCGGAUGCAGAAACGCUGGGGGCGGAAUGACGGCCUUCGGGUUGUAAAGCUCCGGCGCCGGAUAGGAAGCGGGAGUGACGGUAAUGGGUAAAGAAGCACCGGCUAACUACGUG
rnacentral:rRNA from 1 species